GGGGAAUUUUGGACAAUGGGGGCAACCCUGAUCCAGCCAUGCCGCGUGAGUGAAGAAGGCCUUCGGGUUGUAAAGCUCUUUCGGCCGGGAAGAAAUCGCACCUUUUAAUAGAGGGUGUGGAUGACGGUACCGGACUAAGAAGCACCGGCUAACUACGUGCCAGCAGCCGCGGUAAUACGUAGGGUGCGAGCGUUAAUCGGAAUUACUGGGCGUAAAGCGUGCGCAGGCGGUUUGCCAAGACAGGCGUGAAAUCCCCGGGCUUAACCUGGGAACUGCGCUUGUGACUGGCAGGCUAGAGUACGGCAGAGGGGGGUGGAAUUCCACGUGUAGCAGUGAAAUGCGUAGAGAUGUGGAGGAACACCGAUGGCGAAGGCAGCCCCCUGGGCCUGUACUGACGCUCAUGCACGAAAGCGUGGGGAGCAAAC
rnacentral:rRNA from 1 species